rnacentral:rRNA from 1 species
GAUGAACGCUGGCGGCGUGCCUAAUACAUGCAAGUCGAGCGAGGCGGGGACGGGUGAGUAACACGUGGAUAACCUCCGAUAAGGAUGGGAAAACUUCGGGAAACCGGAGCUAAACCGGAUACUUAUACAUGGAUCCGCGCUGCAUUAGCUAGUUGGUACGGUAACGGCGUACCAAGGCGAGGAUGCAUAGCCGACCUGAGAGGGGGAUCGGCCAAACUGGCACUGAGACACGGUCCAGACUCCUACGGGAGGCAGCAGUGGGGAAUCUUCCGCAAUGGGCGAAAGCCUGACGGAGCAACACCGCGUGAGUGAUGAAGGUCUUCGGAUCGUAAAACUCUGUUAUUAGGGAAGCGGUACCUAAUCAGAAAGCCCCGGCUAACUACGUGCCAGCAGCCGCGGUAAUUC